GACAGAGGUUGCAAACGUUGUUCGGAAUCACUGGGCAUAAAGCGCACGUAGGCGGUCUGUUAAGUCAGGUGUGAAAGCCCCCGGCUCAACCGGGGAAUUGCAUUUGAUACUGGCAGGCUCGAGAACGGUAGGGGUGAGUGGAACUCCAGGUGGAGCGGUGAAAUGCGUAGAGAUCCGGAGGAACACCAGAGGCGAAGGCGGCAGCCUGGCUCGUAACUGACGCUCAUACACGACAGCAUGGGGAGCGAACGGG
rnacentral:rRNA from 1 species